AGUGGUGUAAGGCGAACAUCGCUGCCCGGAAAGCAGAAGAUGCGGGUUCGAGUCCCGCCU
rnacentral:tRNA from 1 species